UCUAGAAAGUUUUCAAACACCUUGGAUAUGGCGGCCACGAGCUUCGCGAAUGUGGCGGGGGUUCUCGGCGCGCCUGGCGCCAAUCCGCCGAUUUCUCGCUCUUCCGCAGCUGUUGUGAGGAUGAAUGCGAGCGGCGCGGCUGGAGAGAGGAGCGUGGCGCUUAGGGUUUCGUCGCCGGGCAGGGAAGGCAGGGCGGAGCUGGCGGUGAUCUCCGGGGAAGCGGAACUUGAUGAGGUUUUGCAGCGAGCGCAGGAGGACGAUUCAAUCGUUCUCAUCGAAUGGAUGGCAGCGUGGUGUAGGAAAUGCAUCUACUUGAAGCCUCAAUUGGAGAAGCUGGCUUUGGAAUUCCAGCACGGAGCAAAAUUCUUUUGUGUGGACGUCAAUGCCGUUCCACACGCAUUGAUUAAACGCGUUGGUGUUUCGGUAUGUUCUCUCAAUUGCGUGUUUGAUUUGGUUUGUUCAUCUUUUUUCCUUUUCCAGAGAAUGCCAACUAUUCAGCUGUGGAAGAACAAGGAAAAGAAAGCAGAGAUCAUUGGAGGUCAAAAGGCCGAGCUGGUUGUGGAAGAAGUCCGGCAAAUGUUGCAGACCCUCGAAAAGUGACUCGUUCGUUGGAACUCGAGGACGAUAUUCCACCAACAUUUUUAUCCCUCGGACUAAAAGUGCCUGUAUAUGGUGGUCUACUCGACGAGCCAAAGCAAAAAAACUUUGGUCAGAGAUUUCCAUGAGAUCCAUCAGAAUAGAAACAAGGAGAUCAGAGAUUUGUCGCGCUUGAUUGCGGCUAUAAAGACGUGCAUCAAGAGCAGGGAUCUGGAAAUGGGGUACAAACUUCACGCGGAGGCAGCUCAAAGUGGAGACGACUCAA